CAAAAACAUAGCCUUUAGCCAACACAAUAUUAAAGGUAAUGCCUGCCCAGUGAUAAUUUUAACGGCCGCGGGAUCCUUUACCGUGCAAAGGUAGCAUAACCACUUGUCCCCUAAAUAGUGACUAGUAUGAAUGGCCAAAUGAGGACUUACCUGUCUCUUAUAGGAUAUCUAUUAAACUAUUCUUCUGGUACAAAAACCAGAAUUAAAACAUAAGACGAAAAGACCCUGUGGAACUUUAAAAUAGCCAUCACCACAAUGAUCCAACUAUUUUUAGUUGGGGCAACUAAGGAAAUAAAACAAACUUCCUAAACCACACCAAGAUAGACACAUCUAAGUUCAAACUACGACCCAGUAAAACUGAUUAAAGAAACAAGCUACCCCAGGGAUAACAGCGCCAUCCCCUCCUAGAGCCCACAUCAAAGAGUGGGGUUUACGACCUCGAUGUUGGAUCAGGGCCCCCAAGCAGUGCAGAAGCUGCUAAUGGUUUGUUUGUUCAACAAUUAAUGCCCUACGUGAUCUGAGUUAAGACCGGAGCAAUCCAGGUCGG
rnacentral:rRNA from 1 species